CCAAACAAGCACUACAGGUCGGGCAGCGCUCCCCGUCUCGCUCGCUCGUUCGAGUCCUCCCGUCGUCUGUGGCGCUCGCGAGCGAGACCACCGCCGCCGCUGACAUCUCCACCUCUACAGCCGUCUUCUCCACCUCCGCAUCUCCCUCUCCGGCAAUGAUUGGACUUGGUGCAGGCCUUCGGAAAUGGGCCUGAGCUCAUGUAGCUAUAGAUUUUUGCUUUGAACUGAGAUAGUAGUACAAGGUUUGAAGAAAGAAGGUGCUUGGAGGAAGAAGAUGCUUUGUUACUGUCAAAAUAUUUCUAAAGAUGUCUCCCAUGGGGUUUGGGGAUUGAUGUGGAUAUCACGCGAGGCAUCGAAUAUCGAAGUGAUGGAUAGAUGCAGGCACUGGCGAAUCGUAAGCUGAUUUGGUGUCUGUUGCUGGUUUGUCCUGGGCUCCUGGCUGCCUAGCAUCAUCAAAAUGCGGAAGUUCAGAUGGCCUCUAGUCUAGCUAUAUAUUCACCGGUACUUGACGGAGGUCGCCGUACCCGUAUCAGAUACGGCGAUACGGCACGAUACUUUCCAGCCAGACAUCUCACACACGAACGAAGCGAAAAUAUCACGCGCGUCUGAAUAAAGCGUUUCCCUCCCUCGGGAACCUGUUUC